UACGGAGGGUGCAAGCGUUGUCCGGAUUUAUUGGGUUUAAAGGGUGCGUAGGCGGGCUAUUAAGUCAGUGGUGAAAGUCUUCAGCUCAACUGAAGAAGUGCCAUUGAUACUGGUAGUCUUGAGUACAGUAGAGGUAGGCGGAAUUUAUGGUGUAGCGGUGAAAUGCAUAGAUACCAUAAAGAACACCGAUAGCGUAGGCAGCUUACUAUACUGUAACUGACGCUGAGGCACGAAAGCGUGGGGAGCGAACAGG
rnacentral:rRNA from 1 species